CCUACGGGAGGCAGCAGUGAGGAAUAUUGGUCAAUGGACGAGAGUCUGAACCAGCCAAGUAGCGUGAAGGAUGACUGCCCUAUGGGUUGUAAACUUCUUUUAUAAAGGAAUAAAACGAGGCACGUGUGCCUUUUUGCAUGUACUUUAUGAAUAAGGAUCGGCUAACUCCGUGCCAGCAGCCGCGGUAAUACGGAGGAUCCGAGCGUUAUCGGAGUUAUUGGGGUUAAAGGGAGCGUAGAUGGGUUGUUAAGUCAGUUGUGAAAGUUUGCGGCUCAACCGUAAAAUUGCAAUUGAUACUGGCAGUCUUGAGUACAGUUGAGGUAAGCGGAAUUCGGGGUGUAGCGGUGAAAUGCUUAGAUAUCACGAAGAACCCCGAUUGCGAAGGCAGCUUACUAAACUGUGACUGACAUUGAUGCUCGAAAGUGUGGGUAUCAAACAGGAUUAGAUACCCCUGUAGUC
rnacentral:rRNA from 1 species